rnacentral:rRNA from 1 species
GACGAGCGCUGGCGGCGUGCUUAACACAUGCAAGUCGAACGCUGAAGCUCAGCUUUUGUUGGGUGGAUGAGUGGCGAACGGGUGAGUAACACGUGAGUAACCUGCCUCCUUCUUUGGGAUAACGCCCGGAAACGGGUGCUAAUACUGGAUAUUCACUGGUCUUCGCAUGGGGGUUGGUGGAAAGGGUUUUUCUGGUGGGGGAUGGGCUCGCGGCCUAUCAGCUUGUUGGUGGGGUGAUGGCCUACCAAGGCUUUGACGGGUAGCCGGCCUGAGAGGGUGACCGGUCACAUUGGGACUGAGAUACGGCCCAGACUCCUACGGGAGGCAGCAGUGGGGAAUAUUGCACAAUGGGCGCAAGCCUGAUGCAGCGACGCCGCGUGAGGGAUGGAGGCCUUCGGGUUGUGAACCCCUUUCGCUCAUGGUCAAGCCGCAACAAUGGUUGUGGUGAGGGUAGUGGGUAAAGAAGCGCCGGCUAACUACGUG